rnacentral:rRNA from 1 species
UAGGGAAUCUUCCGCAAUGGACGCAAGUCUGACGGAGCAACGCCGCGUGAGUGAAGAAGGAUUUCGGUUCGUAAAACUCUGUUGUUAGAGAAGAACAGCGCAUAGAGUAACUGUUAUGCGUGUGACGGUAUCUAACCAGAAAGCCACGGCUAACUACGUGCCAGCAGCCGCGGUAAUACGUAGGUGGCAAGCGUUGUCCGGAUUUAUUGGGCGUAAAGCCAGCGCAGGCGGUCAAUUAAGUCUGAUGUGAAAGCCCCCGGCUCAACCGGGGAGGGUCAUUGGAAACUGGUUGACUUGAGUGCAGAAGAGGAGGGUGGAAUUCCAUGUGUAGCGGUGAAAUGCGUAGAUAUAUGGAGGAACACCAGUGGCGAAGGCGACUCUCUGGUCUGUAACUGACGCUGAGGCUCGAAAGCGUGGGUAGCAAACAGG